rnacentral:lncRNA from 1 species
GAUUUUAAGGCUUUAGGCAAAACAACUCAAUUUGAAGACGAAAAUACAAGUACGAGCCUAAAAGCAAAUAAUCAAUUUCAGUAGUGCUAGAAGCAUAAAUGGAAGACAAGCCCAAGACAUUUAAUGGUAUUGUAUCCAUUAUAGCUUCUCUCGGGCAAAUGGAAGACACUCACAGCAGGAAGUGCCAGCGCAGUGAAAAGGGGAUGGAGAGUAGCCAAAACCUAAGGCACACUCCCUGGCUGUGUGACCUUAAGUAAG